GAUGAACGCUGGCGGCGUGCCUAAUACAUGCAAGUCGAGCGAACAGAUAAGGAGCUUGCUCCUUUGACGUUAGCGGCGGACGGGUGUGUAACACGUGGGUAACCUACCUAUAAGACUGGAAUAACUCCGGGAAACCGGGGCUAAUGCCGGAUAACAUUUAGAACCGCAUGGUUCUAAAGUGAAAGAUGGUUUUGCUAUCACUUAUAGAUGGACCCGCGCCGUAUUAGCUAGUUGGUAAGGUAACGGCUUACCAAGGCAACGAUACGUAGCCGACCUGAGAGGGUGAUCGGCCACACUGGAACUGGGACACGGUCCAGAGUACUACGGGAGGCAGCAGUAGGGAAUCGUACGCAAUGGGCGAAAGCCUGACGGAGCAACGCCGCGUGAGUGAUGAAGGUCUUCGGAUCGUAAAACUCUGUUAUUAGGGAAGAACAAAUGUGUAAGUAACUGUGCACGUCUUGACGGUACCUAAUCAGAAAGCCACGGCUAACUACGUG
rnacentral:rRNA from 1 species